UUCAACCAAGUGGUUUUAAUAAAACGUAAACAUUCGAAGAGGAAAAUCAUGUUCAAAAUCACGUCUGUCCCAACAAAGUUAAAAAACGUAGAAUCUGUUAAUUUCCAAGCCCAAUCUGCAAGCUAAAUUCCAUUGUACAAGAAGAACUCCAUGGCAGGAGCGACAUUGAAACGUGUGGUCAUAGACAACUACAAAAUUUUUAACAGAAAGCAGGUCCUUGAUUUCCAACAUGAAACUUCCCUGUCAACAAACAAUAAGUAUUUCACCUUAGUAGGAGAAAAUGGGAGUGGAAAGAGUACAUUCCUUGCCCUUGUUGGUCUGGCAAGUAACUUUGGUGGCAAAGUAACCAGCCAUGUUUGCGACCAGACAAGACCCUCGGUGGUUGCAUGUGAAUAUGAAAUUGAAAACUGGCUAUCACUGACAAACAUUCAAAACAACAUAGUACGCCAUUAUCCCGCAUUAGAGCUUUGGUUUCUAACUGGAGUGCUUAGAAUCCCCAGUGAAUUGCAACGUUUUAUUGCUGAACGUUACCUGGGGUUGAACACAAAAGGUUUGAGAGUUGUCCUUGGUUUCAAACACUUGCCCAUCUUGGAGACGGAUGGCGAAGCUGUUGUGUCGAAAUUCCUGUAUGUUGAGUUUGGUUCAAGCAUUGUUGCAUUGAUCCAUGACUUAAACGAUGAAGCUAAAAUAGCUGUUGUAGACAGUUCAGAAAUUGAAGAUCUGCUAGACUGGAUACCAGAUGAAUCUGUGUUUGCAUCAACUGGCUGCAAUUUCCUUGAAAACCUGAAGACUCCCAAAACACCAAUUGAUAAUGAUCUCUUCGAGUAUCCUAAUCCAAAAAACCACCAAGCAUCGCUGAUUCUCGCCCUGAGAAACACCCUAGCGGCAGAUUCUCGAGACACCAUCUGGGCAGACAUGAUUGAGUUGUUUCACGAACUUACAGGAAACGCCAAGAUAACUUUGAUUUACGAUUCUUUGAGUGGAUUGGUCAGAAUGAAGCAUCAAUAUGGUGAUUGUGAAACAUUCCGGGAUGAUUUGCCAGAAGGUUUCUUUCAUGCUUUUAUUGUUGCUUUUCUGGUUGUGAAUCCAAGGUUCAAGACAAUCCUUCUGGAUGAACCCACCCGCGGCAUGCACCCACUCCAGAUCAGAAGGCUUCGUCGCAUCCUUUCUCAGAAAUCUUUGGAGGAAGAUAAGGUGAUAAUUGUUGCCACCCAUGCCCCUGACAUAGUCCACACUUCCCAAAUAAAUCAAAUAUUCAGAUUUCAACAGCUUGAUUCGGGUUUCGUAGAGGUUCGCCGGACUUCGGCGAAACACGACAACCGUGAUGUCCGCUUCAUAAGUUCUGUAGAGAGCCGAGAGUUGUUCUUUACUAGGAGGAUAAUUUGGGUCGAGGGUGACACUGACCGAAGAUUCUGUGAGGCGAUGUUAAAACUCAUUGAUGAGGGUAAUGAUGUACUUUGGAGUAUCUUAAUGGAUCCAAGAGAUAUCAAGGCAGAUUUAAAGGCAAAAUCUGCUGGAUUGGCAGCUACAGUUGAGGAUAUGGAUGAUACAAGUGAUAGCAGUACAGAUGAGGUCGAUUAUGGUGAUGUAGGGAUAAACCCACUGGACAAUCUCUUUCAAACAUCAGCCUAUGAGAAGAAGUAUUUCAGAGCUGAGGUGCUUGCUGAUUGUCAGGAACUUGCAAGAAGUUGCAGCGUUCUGCCUUUGUCAGGUAAAAAGAACAUAGAUAAAGCCACAAGAACCUGCAAAGAUCUUGGAAUUCCUUAUGCGGUUGUUUGCGACCUGGACGCAGUUCUACCGAAUUCUAAGAAAAACAGCAUCAUGUCGCAGUUCAUGAAAUGUGUUGGAAACUGGAAUUUAGCACAUGUCGAUAAGAAAUUGCUGUUUGACAGCGAACAAUCGCCAGCGAGUACUUGCAUUGAGGAUCCCACUCUCAAAGCACAGUUGAAAAUGUGUCACAACGCGAAAGACGUGAUGGAUUUCUACGAAACGAUGGAACGUAUUUUCGCUUGGAGAGUUGGCAACGGUGAAAUCGAAGAUUUGGUGAAGGUCACAAAACGAACGUUUUCCAAGAAAUGGUGGGCAGAUUUCACCUCCGAAGCUUUCCAAGACUUGAUUCAAUUCAUGCUGGUGCCAAAUCUCGAAGGAGAAACCGGUUAUGGCAGCAAGACAAACCCAGAAUUACUUCGCUGUUUUUACUUCGUGCUGGAGUUUUUGCAGGCCGUGCGAUGAUAGUUUUCGUUUCAUUCUUUUGUUGAAUUAAAAAGACAGCGAUUUUUGAAGCAAGUUUAUUUGUGCCGUGACUCGUGAGGGAAGCAAUGCCAAUGGAUGUUCUCGCCUUCUCGGGUACCAGGAAUCCCUAAACUUUACCAAGAACUUUAUUUAUCGAUAAAGCUGGAAAGAGCAUUCGAAAUUGCAAGUGUGAAAAAUAUUGCAAGUGUGAAAAAUUCGCCGAAAAAUUCGCACGGCGAAUUUGGCAAAUGUUGUAUAAAUUAUACACGCGAAAAAAAACUUGUCACAACUUGUCACAACGAAAUUUCAGGAUCCUCUUAAUGAAGAAUCAUUCGAGGCUCGCCCCACCAUCGAUUAUCUGGGAUGAACUUUAAUUGUGCAAUUUACGUUCGUAAUUACUAUCGUACGAGUGGUCAAUCUAUAAGUCCCAUCGGGAUUUAUAAAUUCGAUAUUACAAAUCGAUGAAUAUGAAUAAUUUAUCGAUUGGCACGACUUUAUUAGCGGAUGCAUUAGUCACAGCGGGUGGUGUAUUGGGCAUCCGAGGUGCAAUCUUAUGCUGAUUAACAUUCCGAUGCUUGGAGGAUCGCGAAAUCGGUGUUGGGCGUUGUUACGUGGGUUAAAUUUUGUCGAAGAUGUGGGCUGUGCGUUUAAAAAAAUGAAGUUCCUUGCCCCUACAGGCCUACACACUCGAACUACGACUGGAGCUACGUGCACACUGUAAUGUUUACGAAGAAGGACAAGCAUUCAAGAGCUCUGUUUGUGUUGAAUGUGUCCCCACGCAAAAAAGGAAGUAAACACUAGUAUUAUAUCAAUCUACCAAAGAGAAAUCGAAGUUCCCUUGAUGAAUUAUAGAAAACUGUGUGCACAAGGCAAUAAAAAUGACCAAAACGUUCUUCCAAAGUUGCAAACGCUUGAAAACAACGCCCGUGUGUUUUUCGGCGAUUUUAAUAGCUUAACAUUCUAAAACGUCUAAUUUAACUGUAGCAUAACAGCUGGCUAAAAUAGGCAAAAAGAAGUCGAGAAAUACUAGACUGAAGAGUUAGUAAGACGAAGUCCCUUCGGUCGAAGCACCUUAAGAACAUUUGGUUAUACCAACUAGUUAUGAAUUUGUGCUUAAUUCUUGAUUUUUUCCGGUUACAUAUUAAUAAAAAACGGCUUUAAUGCUUUUACAAUUUAAACUCCUAGCUUAAUUUAGCAGAUAGAAAAAAAAUCGAGUGUUACCAUUAACAUCUAACGAUUUAUCAAUGAACCGACUUUAUGCGAAAAAUUAGUAAGAAACUAUUUGAUUUUACCGUUUAGUUGAACUUUUAGGUUUGGGGAAAGGUUUAGAAGAUGUUAAUUGAAAUCUUGUGUUAAUCUGUACAGUAAAUUGCGUUGGAGUGAACGUUGGCGUUCUGUUGAUUACCUUGCUGGAAAGACAAUUUUUACGCCUCGUAAUGUUUGUGUCAACUGUCUGUUAAAACAAUGUCUAUGGUUGAUGGAAUUGUACGCGCUUUGUGAUAUGAACUAAGCUCGCUGUGAGAGGUUCUCCCACACAUGCCGAUUCAGGCAAUUUUGCCGAAAUCGACCAAUAUAUUGAAGGUUUCAGACCUUGUUUAUCUCGUGACUUUCUGUGAGAAAUCAUUUGAACAAAAAUUGUCAUGUUUCAUGCAUGUCUCAAAAUAGCACAAUUUUACGAACGUUUUGUUAAAAAAACAAUUAGAACAUGCAAUAAAGUAUUUGCUACACCGGAUGACAUGAUCGGUGAAAGUAAUUCCCCUCAUCCUGACUUUUCCUAUCAAAACAAUUGAACCGUUUUAAACAGAUUUUUAUGAUAUAACUAUGGAAAAUGUCCAAUGAUAUAUGUGACCUUGUAAUGACGUAUUGAAACCCACCCACGCGUUCUUCAAUGAUAAAAAAAUUAUGAAUAUUUAAAAAGUCGAGCAAGAGUAUUUUAUGACACAAACAUCAAGUUCCGUGUUACGUUUCGCAUUAGCCUUCGGUCUGAAUGGGGCCUCGAAACAAGCAAGUCGACGAUAAUUCGACUAUGAACGCCGUGUUUUACGUUCAAGAUUACACUUCUUCGGUCAAGGGCGCAGCAAGCAGGAAGUGUAAUGUUCAUUUCUCCACGUCUGGAAGCGAUGGCUUGG